GAUGAACGCUGGCGGCGUGCUUAACACAUGCAAGUCGAACGAUGAAGCCCAGCUUGCUGGGUGGAUUAGUGGCGAACGGGUGAGUAACACGUGAGUAACCUGCCCUUAACUCUGGGAUAAGCCUGGGAAACUGGGUCUAAUACCGGAUAGGAGCGUCCACCGCAUGGUGGGUGUUGGAAAGAUUUAUCGGUUUUGGAUGGACUCGCGGCCUAUCAGCUCUUUGGUGAGGUAAUGGCUCACCAAGGCGACGACGGGUAGCCGGCCUGAGAGGGUGACCGGCCACACUGGGACUGAGACACGGCCCAGACUCCUACGGGAGGCAGCAGUGGGGAAUAUUGCACAAUGGGCGCAAGCCUGAUGCAGCGACGCCGCGUGAGGGAUGACGGCCUUCGGGUUGUAAACCUCUUUCAGUAGGGAAGAAGCGAAAGUGACGGUACCUGCAGAAGAAGCACCGGCUAACUACGUG
rnacentral:rRNA from 1 species